rnacentral:rRNA from 1 species
UACAGAGGUGGCAAGCAUUGUUCGGAUUUAUUGGGCGUAAAGGGUUCGUAGGCGGUUCGAAAAGUCAGAUGUGAAAUCCCACAGCUCAACUGUGGAACUGCAUUUGAAACUUUUGAACUAGAGUAUGAGAGGGGUAAAGGGAAUGCCCGGUGUAAGGGUGAAAUCUGCAGAGAUCGGGAGGAACGCCAGUCGCGAAGGCGCUUUACUGGCUCAUUACUGACGCUCAGGAACGAAAGCUAGGGUAGCAAACGGG